AUGAACGCUAGCGGCAGGCCUAACACAUGCAAGUCGAGGGGCAUCACGGAUUGCUUGCAAUCUGGUGGCGACCGGCGCACGGGUGCGUAACGCGUAUACAACCUACCUUUUGGAGGGGAAUAGCCCAGAGAAAUUUGGAUUAAUACCCCAUAGUAUAUAGGAAUCUCCUGAUUUUUAUAUUAAACAUUUAUGGCCAUUAGAUGGGUAUGCGUCCUAUUAGCUAGUUGGUGUGGUAACGGCACACCAAGGCUACGAUAGGUAGGGGUCCUGAGAGGGAGAUCCCCACACUGGUACUGAGACACGGACCAGACUCCUACGGGAGGCAGCAGUGAGGAAUAUUGGACAAUGGGCGAGAGCCUGAUCCAGCCAUGCCGCGUGCAGGAAGACUGCCCUAUGGGUUGUAAACUGCUUUUACAGAGGAAGAACCACCCCCACGUGUGGGGGUUUGACGGUACUCUGCGAAUAAGGAUCGGCUAACUCCGUG
rnacentral:rRNA from 1 species